AGUGAACGCUGGCGGUAGGCCUAACACAUGCAAGUCGAACGGCAGCACAGUAAGAGCUUGCUCUUACGGGUGGCGAGUGGCGGACGGGUGAGGAAUACAUCGUAAUCUACUUUUUCGUGGGGGAUAACGUAGGGAAACUUACGCUAAUACCGCAUACGACCUACGGGUGAGAGCAGGGGAUCUUCGGACCUUGCGCGAUUGAAUGAGCCGAUGUCGGAUUAGCUAGUUGGCGGGGUAAUGGCCCACCAAGGCGACGAUGCGUAGCUGGGCUGAGGGGAGGAUGCGCCACAGUGGGGGUGAGACACGGCCCAGGCACCGAGGGAAGGCAGCAAUGGGGACGAUUGGAAAAUGUGCGCAAUCCUGAACCAGCCAUACCGCGUGGGUGAAGAAGGCCUGCGGGUUGUAAAGCCCUUUUGUUGGGAAAGAAAAGCAGCAGGUUAAUCCCCCGCUGUUCGGACGGUACCCAAAGAAUAAGCACCGGCUAACUUCGU
rnacentral:rRNA from 1 species